UUACAGGUAAAAAUUUGAAGGGAGGGGUGCCCUUUGGUUAGAGAUUUUCAUUUGGUGUCAAACGCACCUUGUUGUAAACAAAUGGAAAUUGAAAGUAAAAGUGCCGCGUGACGGUAUAUUUUUUCUGGCAUGUUUUGUUUUCCAAUAUCUCGAACUUUCACGACAAAAAGGCCAUUUGCCCGAAAUUCAAUAUAUGUAUGAGUGACAGGGGCUGAAGUUUGUAUGGAAGUCUAUGGGAAAACAUUUAGUGGUGUUUGUCCUAUAGAAUAGCAAUGUAUUCUCAAGAAGGAAGAGAUUAAUGAACCCUCCCCUCUUACAAUGAACAACACAUGGACACUCUCAGGAUGGUCCCUUUGCUUUCAUUAAGAGUUCCAAGAUGUGUGUCUGAUUGACUGGGGUGUGAAAUGUAACAGCCAAUGGUGUACUUCAGCUAAGACUGUCAGUCCCAAUAUUCAAGAGGUGAGAUAAGCAAUGGAUAUGUGUUCUAAAAAUACUAAAUUGACCACUUUUUAUAAAUGUUUCUUUUACUCUAUAGGAAAAACCCCUACAUAAACAAACACAUGGGCGCAGACAUU